rnacentral:rRNA from 1 species
AUACGGAGGGAGCGAGCGUUAAUCGGAAUUACUGGGCGUAAAGCGCGCGUAGGUGGUUAUGUCAGUCGGGUGUGAAAGCCCCGGGCUCAACCUGGGAACUGCAUCCGAUACUGCAUAGCUAGAGUCUGGUAGAGGGAAGUGGAAUUCCACAUGUAGCGGUGAAAUGCGUAGAUAUGUGGAGGAACACCAAUGGCGAAGGCAGCUUCCUGGACCAAGACUGACACUGAGGUGCGAAAGCGUGGGGAGCAAACAGGAUUAGAUACCCCGGUAGUCC